rnacentral:rRNA from 1 species
AUUGAACGCUGGCGGCAGGCCUAACACAUGCAAGUCGAGCGGAUGAAGGGAGCUUGCUCCUGGAUUCAGCGGCGGACGGGUGAGUAAUGCCUAGGAAUCUGCCUGGUAGUGGGGGAUAACGUCCGGAAACGGGCGCUAAUACCGCAUACGUCCUGAGGGAGAAAGUGGGGGAUCUUCGGACCUCACGCUAUCAGAUGAGCCUAGGUCGGAUUAGCUAGUUGGUGGGGUAAAGGCCUACCAAGGCGACGAUCCGUAACUGGUCUGAGAUGAUGAUCAGUCACACUGGAACUGAGACACGGUCCAGACUCCUACGGGAGGCAGCAGUGGGGAAUAUUGGACAAUGGGCGAAAGCCUGAUCCAGCCAUGCCGCGUGUGUGAAGAAGGUCUUCGGAUUGUAAAGCACUUUAAGUUGGGAGGAAGGGCAGUAAGUUAAUACAUUGCUGUUUUGACGUUACCAACAGAAUAAGCACCGGCUAACUUCGUG